GAUGCACGCUGGCGGCGUGCCCAAUACAUGCAAGUCGAGCGAACGGACGAGAAGCUUGCUUCUCUGAUGUUAGCGGCGGACUUCUGAGUAACACGUGGGUAACCUACCUAUAAGACUGGGAUAACUUUGGGAAACCGGAGCUAAUACCGGAUAAUAUAUUGAACCGCCUGGUUGCAUAGUACAAGACGGUCUUGCUGGCAGUUAUCGAUGGAUCCGCGCAGCAUGACCUAGGUGGUAAGGUUACGGCUUACCAAGCCCACGAUGCAUACCCGACCCUGCCGCGUGCUGGCCCACACUAGAACUGAGACACGGUCGAGAGGCGUACGGGAGGCACACGUAGGGAAUCUUCCGCCAUGCGCGACAGCCUGACGCAGCAACGCCGCGUGAGUGAUGAAGGUCUUCGGAUCGUAAAACUCUGUAAUUAGGGAAAAACAUAUGUCUAACUCACUGUGCACAUCUUGACGGUAGCUAAUCAGAACGCAACGGCUAACUACGUC
rnacentral:rRNA from 1 species